rnacentral:piRNA from 1 species
UGGCAUGCCUGGAGAUAAGUUUCAUGA